GUGGUUUAGAUGGAUAACUGUGGUAAUUCUAGAGCUAAUACAUGCUUGUCGUCUAUUAGUUGUUGGAAGUAGAGUAGAGAGUGGACUAUGUCGGGAGACGUAGUAGUUCAUGGAAGUUUCUGGCCUAUCAGCUGGACGGUAGUGUAUUGGACUACCGAGGCAGUGACGGGUGACGGGGAAUUAGGGUUCGAUUCCGGAGAGGGAGCCUGAGAAACGGCUACCACAUCCAAGGAAGGCAGCAGGCGCGCAAAUUACCCAAUCCUGACUCAGGGAGGUAGUGACAAGAAAU
rnacentral:rRNA from 11 species